AGCAGCCGCGGUAAUUCCAGCUCCAAUAGCGUAUAUUAAAGUUGUUGCAGUUAAAAAGCUCGUAGUUGAAUUUCGAGACCGGUCUACUGGUCGUGCUUUUGUACGUACUAGUAUAAUCGGUUUCUCUCUUCUGACGAACUAUAAUGCUAUUAAUUUGGUGUUUUAGGGAAUCAGGACUGUUACUUUGAAAAAAUUAGAGUGUUUAAAGCAGGCUCACGCUUGAAUACAUUAGCAUGGAAUAACGAAAUAGGACGUUUGAUUCUAUUUUGUUGGUUUCUAGGAUCGACGUAAUGAUUAAUAGGGAUAGUUGGGGGCAUUAGUAUUCAAUUGUCAGAGGUGAAAUUCUUGGAUUUAUUGAAGACUAACUACUGCGAAAGCAUUUGCCAAGGAUGUUUU
rnacentral:rRNA from 1 species